ACUGUCCUGCUAUCCAGGUCAAUGGGAAACUACAACAACCAAAUCCAGGCAAGACAACAAAUGUCUCAGACCAUUCAGGAAUGAAGGUGUGGGUCACACCUCCAGGGAAAGAACCAAGAUGUGCCGAGGUGCUUGCUGAAGGUAGAACAACAGCUCCGAGUCCACCUUUUAAUUUGGACCUGCCUCUGCCACCUCGUCCUGACAGGCCUGCACCUCGAGGCCUCCGCUUGCCUGGGAAUCCAGAGCCCCGGCCCUACAUAACAGAUGAGGCAGGCCUUGGCACUACUUUUUCAUCUCCUGUUCCUACAUUCUGCAUGCUAGCAGAGCCAUACCUCAUCCAGUUUUUUUGAUGUACAACAUUCAUAUUCAAUGAAAAAUAGGUAGAAGGAAAGACUCUGGACAACUGGUCUCUCAGGUCCUCUGAGACAAAGGUCCAUCAGCUUCUUUGAAAAGGGAUGGACAGGAAGAGGUUGGACUGGACAAUUUUUUGUAAAAGUAGUAUAGAAGAUUUCAUUGAAGUUAAAAGGAACAGAAAUGUUAUGAUGUCAUGAAGAAACGAUUCCUUGAUCAUGGAGUGACCUGUGUGACAAGGACUUCCCCCUUACAGAAACACUGCCUAGUAACUAAAGGAGUCAACCAUAAACAGAGUCACUAAAAAUUACACUUGUAGAACUACAAUUAACUCUCGUAUUCUAGAUCUUACAAUGAAAGCAUAUUACUUCUUUAAGAAAUUUUAAGAUUUAAAAAGUGGCUCUGAAAGCUAAAUCUAGAAAAGACAAGUUUGAUUCUUAACAUCCAAUAGGAUAAAACAAACCAGAAAGAAAUGAUACAUGAAUGUAAAUGCAAUUUUAUUUACCACUUUGAUGCUCCAAAUGGCACUGCCAGGAAGCUGCCUGGGUUUAAAAAUUUCCCGACCUUCUGAAAUGUCUGGGGACCAGGAAGGUGGGCUCACUGUAUUAUGGGUACUCCAAGCCCCCUAGGAUAUGGCAGGUGAGAAAAUAGAUGUAUAAAACUUAGCAACAUAAAAGAUCAAAGCCAGCAACUAAGGAAUCUUCGAACAGCAAAAACAAAUGCAAACGUAUGGAAAUUUAGGACAUAUUGCUUCAAGAUAGGGAAAAUAAACUUAUCACAGUGACUUCAUA